rnacentral:rRNA from 1 species
GGGUUGUAAACUUCUUUUAUAAAGGAAUAAAGUCGGGUAUGGAUACCCGUUUGCAUGUACUUUAUGAAUAAGGAUCGGCUAACUCCGUGCCAGCAGCCGCGGUAAUACGGAGGAUCCGAGCGUUAUCCGGAUUUAUUGGGUUUAAAGGGAGCGUAGAUGGAUGUUUAAGUCAGUUGUGAAAGUUUGCGGCUCAACCGUAAAAUUGCAGUUGAUACUGGAUAUCUUGAGUGCAGUUGAGGCAGGCGGAAUUCGUGGUGUAGCGGUGAAAUGCUUAGAUAUCACGAAGAACUCCGAUUGCGAAGGCAGCCUGCUAAGCUGCAACUGACAUUGAGGCUCGAAAGUGUGGGUAUCAAACAGGAUUAGAUACCCUGGUAGUCCCACACGGUAAACGCAUGAAUCACUCGCUGUUUGCGACAUACAGCAAGCGGCCAAGCGAAAGCGUUAAGUAUUCCACCUGGGGAGUA